GAAAGGGACUUGUGAGAUAAAAUUGCAAAGAAUUCAUAGAUGCAAUUCAAAAUAUAAAUAAAUUAUAACAAUGACAAAUUAAAUGAGAGGAAAGUACAAAAUACAACUUCAUUUUCCCUGUUUUGAUGUCUUGAUGAAUUCUGUUAGCCAUAUACAGCCUUAUAUUGAUAAAAUACUUCAGAACAUUAUGUAAUUUGUUUUGUUAGAACUCGCACAGCUGCAUGAGUGAUACUGCACGAAAGAUAAACCUUCCCGCCAUCGUCAUUUACAUUUGUAAUAUGAUCAUUAUGAACCAAAUGAAAGAAACCAAAUGUAAAUAUAUCGUGGAAAAAACAAGUCUGUGACUUUAGAAUCCAUCUCACAUUUUUCCUCACUUUCUUCUUUAUUAAUUUUUUCAGUACUUUUAUAAGACUAAUGACUCCAACUGAGGUGUUAAAGACCAUCAUCAACAUUUGUACGUACACAAGUAGAAAGUCGACUAGAUUGCAAUGGCAAUAGUUCAUUUUGUUCUUUGUGUGUUUAGGCUUCUACUCAUUUCAUUUACUAUCCAUUGUUGAUGGCUCAGUACGAUUACUGUUAAUGCCGAAAGGUUUUAGGUUUCUUUCUAUCCAGAUGGAAGCUGAAAAUGACACCAGUCAUCCCAUCAACGGCCUGUGCUGGUAACUGGUUGCCCAGUGCAGUGGACCCUUGUUACCGGAUAAAAGUUAUCCACUACUCCUCUUUUAGUGAGUUAGCUCAGUGAAAAGAGACUAAACUUCCCUGUGUAAUGCGCUGUUCAUUUGAAUUGAUUUGCAUUACAUUCAAUAAUCAAAGCAAACGGAGUUGAAUGGCUUUAUUGUCGGGUUCACAUUGAAAGACAUUCAACUGUUAAUCACAAUAUCAACAUUCAUUUGAAUAUACAGGUUCCACACAUGCAUUGUUUCAAGAGUACAGAUUUGACUAUAGAGACUUUUUAAGUAACAGGAUUGUUAUCGGUUUUCUUAUUUAGGAAAAUAAAUAAUUUGAGCAAAUAUGUAAUUCAGUGGAUUAUAAGCAACAACAUUCAAGUACAGCAUGACAUUAUAUAAAUUUAAUCAGGGAAAGAAUCCCAUUGAACAAACAUAUGUCUUGAUUUGAAUUUGUAUAUGAUAAUAUGAUUUAGUCGGGAUGUAAGUUAUUUCAGAGCUGACUGAAACUCGACUUCUGAAAGUUAAAAUGUUUUAAAGCUUCUACGGCACCUGAUUUAUGACUUAAGACUUCCUGCAGCAUCCAACCCUGAAACAAUCCAACUGCCCAUGACUUUUAAGGUGGAGUAAUGACAUGAGAGUAGAUCCCAUACAGGAAGUAAGGGUCAUAGGAUAAGCAAUAGAACAUUUGAAGAUAUCUUCACUGACCUGGGGCUUUACAACUACUAUCAGAAGCACUGGGGGAAGGUAAGACAGGACUGAGAUCACCAGGCUGUUGGUGAGGGUGUGAAUGGCUCUUUGCUUCUGAGGGUGGAUGUUUCUACCGAGGUCACUUUUAAUGAGUGAAUGGAGGAUGAGAGAAUCACAGAUCGCGAUUAUCACCAUUGCUACUAUCAAUGGGAGAGUGGAAAAGAUGGUGUAGAAUAACAGAUAAAAAGUAUAGUAUAUAAUUCCAGAGGCUAUUGUCAAAAUCCAAACAAUGCCAGUCAUCACCACCCUGGGAGUCAGACUUUUCCUCUUGUGGUAGGUUAUUGGAUGAACCACAGCCAGGUAACAGUCCAGACAGAUACAAGCCAUCAUGAGGGGUCUCCCACAUGUGUUCAAGGCAUAGACACCAUUAAGAAAUGUUUCAAAAGGCCAAUACAUCCAGAUAAAAUUAUUCAUUAAUCCAAAAGGGAUGAAGAACAAGAAGACAGCGUCCAUGAUGGAGACAUUCAGUAUGAAAAAAUCAUUUGGUGUGAAGAGACUUCCUCCCCAGUGAGCCUUAAACAUCUGCCACAGGAUGGCAAUAGAUGCAGGAAAUCCCAAAACAAAGAACAGCGUCAUAAAAAAAAGCCAAACGUAUUGGCCCUCUUCAUACGCUUCACAACCAUACAUGUUAAAUACAGAUGUGGGAGAGUUAUUGGACAGAUGCGGGGAAUGAAGACGCAAACCAGUCAACAUUAUUGAGCAGAGUGGUAGUUUCAACACCUGCAAGACACAAAUAUAGUAUUUUAAAGAAUGCAAGAGGAAGUUACAAGAACACAUUGACUGUGUAUUGGUUUUAGUUAAUAAUAAACACAUACCUUAAUAAUAAACACAUACCUACUCUACCUUUUUCGUGAGGAUUUGUAGGGGAGGUUUUUACUGAUGUGCAGCUGCGUCUUGUAGCCUCGACUAAAGUUUGAAACACCUGUGGGAGCGGUUUUAAGUGUUCGCACAUCAUUCCACGUCAUGAACCGACGUCGGUGGCCGGUUUGCAAACCAUAAAGUUAUGGAAAAGAGCAAACCCACAGAGCAUCGGAGAUCAUAAAGGCCGGUGGUGAAAGACAUAGACAUAAACUGACAUAUUAUGUGUUUUCACUGCAUUUUAAGUUGGAUUUCUUCUGACCUGACAGCGAGCUACAUUAUUAAAGUAAUUAAUAUUCAUCUGGGGGGGACCCUGCAUGUGUGUUCAGAAUGCCAUUGUCUUCCAUCCAAUAGUAGUGCCCUUCGAUCCAUCCAGUAGUUGUUAUAACAUUUGACUAGUGGCCAAAAUGUCCAUGUGUUAAUGGCGAUGGAGUCCAAAACAUGGGAUCAUAAAACGUCAGAGGAAUUCAUCCUCUGGGGAACAGGAAUGUUUGAAGAAAAUGUCACGGUUGUCCAUUCAAUAGUGUGAAAGAAAAAGAGAAGAAAAGGUUGAAAAGUCUAAACUGAUUAUCAUAUAAUAUACAAGAGGUAGCACGAAAGAGCAAAAAUAACAAGUUAGGACUAUCAUACAUUUAAUCUGUAACUGAUUGAAUCUUAAAAUACUAGUAAUGACUUCAUGUCAUAAAACAACCAUAGACUUAUUUUCAGCAGAAAAUAAACCAAGAAAAAAAUCACGUAAAACACAUCAUAGUGGGACAAUGACACAACAAUGUCCAUACCCUACAUAUGCAAAUAAUAACAGGAUUCAGUUAGGGAUAUUUAUUAUGUCUGUCGAAAUGAAUGCAUUGUUCUAUGCGAUUAAUGUGGCCGAGAAUUAAUCCUAUAAAAAAUUUGACGGCGUUCAAGUAACUUCAUAACGCACUUAACGCAACUUUCUUUACUUCCAGUUUGUCGGUGUGUUACCCUGCGCGGCACACAGUCUGCAGAGGACCAUCACUGUGUCCCUAAAAGACAGUAGUUUGAAAACGUCCUGGCAAAAUGUGGGGACAUUGUUGGCACUUCAAAGAGAGCCGUUAAAAUGAAUGAUGGAGAGUUGAGAGCACAACAAAGUGCACGAGGACAGCAGGAAGAGUUGCUAGUUCAACAUGUUCCAUCCGGUGGAAUUCUGCCUCAAAGAUAAUCAAAUGUGUAAAGUUUUGUGUUUAAAAUGACAUUAACAAUUAAACAACAGUGUCAAAAAUACACACUCUCUAAAGGGAUUAGUCAUUACUUACAAGAUUUAGUCUUUAGAAGAAAAACGUUCAUUAAAAACAACAUUAUGACAACAACGACAUACAAUAAAUGUGAUUGAUCGCGAUUAAUGGAGGUUAAAAGGUGCGAUUAAUUAGUUAAUUUAAAAAAAAAUCUAUUGACAGCCCUAAAAUGUAUUAUUGAAGUGCUUAGACUGUAUAGAAGUUACCCACUACUCCUCUUUUAGUGAGUUAGCUCAGUGAAAAGAGACUAAACUUCCCUGUGUGCUGCGCCGUUCAUUUGACUUCAUUUAUAUCACGUUCAAAAAUCAAAGCAAACCGAGUUCAAUGGCUUUAUUGUCGGGUUCACAUUGAAGGACAUUCAUCUGUUGAUUUUAUAAUCACAAUAUCAACAUUCAUUUGAAUAUACAGGUUCCACAAAUGCAUUGUUUCAAGAGUAAAGAUUUUACUAUAGAAGAGACUUUUUAAGUAGUAGGAUUAAUAUAGUUUUUUGUUAUUAAGGAAAAUAAAUAAUUUGUGCAAACAUGUAUCACAGGUGACUAUAAGCAACAAUAUCUAUGAACAAUAUGCCAUUAAAUAAAUUAAAUUAGAGAAAGAAUCCCAUUGAACAAACAUUUGUCUUGAUUUGAAUAUGUAAAUGAUAACAUGAUUUAGUCGGGAUGUAAGUUGUUUCCGAGCUGACUGAAACCGACUAAGCCAGUUAUUCGAAUCCAUGUAACCACGCUGAAUGAUCAAAGCAAACCGAGUUCAAUGGCUUUAUUGUCGGGUUCACAUUGAAAGACAUUCAACUGUUUCUUUUUUAAUCACAAUAUCAACAUUCAUUUGAAUAUACAGGUUCCAUACAUGCAUUGUUUCAAGAGUACAGCUUUUUACUAUGUAAGAGACUUUUAAAGUAAUAGGAUUGUUAUAGGUUUUCUUAUUAAGGAAAUAAUAAUUUCUGCAAACAUGGAACACAGUUGAUUAUGAGCAACAACAUCCAAGAACAACAGAACAUUAUAUAAAUUGAAUCAGGGAAAGAAUCCCAUUGAACAAACAUAUGUCUUGAUUUGAAUUUGUAAAUGAUAAUAUGAUUUAGUUGGGAUGUAAGUUAUUUCAGAGCUGACUGAAACUCAACUUCUGAAAGUUAAAAUGUUUUAAAGCUUCUACGGCACAUGAUUUAUGACUUAAGACUUCCUGCAGCAUCCAACCUUGAAACAAUCCAACUGCCCAUGUCUUUUAAGGUGGAGUAAUGACAUGAGAGUAGAUCCCAUACAGGAAUUAAGUGUCAUAGGAUAACCAAUAGAACAUAUGAAGAUAUCUUCACUGACCUGGGGCUUUACAACUACUAUUAGAAGCACUGGGGGAAGGUAAGACAGGACUGAUAUCACCAGGCUGUUGAUGAGGGUGUGAAUGGCUUUUUGCUUCUGAGGGUGGAUGUUUCUUCUGAGGUCAGAUUUAAUGAGUGAAUGGAGGAUGAGAGAAUCACAGAUCGAGAUUAUCACCAUUGCUACUAUCAAUGGGAGAGUGGAAAAGAUGGUGUAGUAUAACAGAUGAAAAAAAUAGUAUGCAAUUCCAGAGGCAAUUGUCAAAAUCCAAACAAUGCCAGCCAUCAUCACCCUGGGAGUCAGACUUUUCCUCUUGUGGUAGGUUAUUGGAUGAACCACAGCCAGGUAACAGUCCAGACAGAUACAAGCCAUCAUGAGGGGUCUCCCACAUGUGUUCAAGGCAUAGACACCGUUCCACAAUGCCUCUAAAGGCCAAUACAUCCAGAUGACAUGAUUCAAUAUUCCAAGAGGGAUGAAGAACAAGUAGACACCGUCCAUGGUGGAGAUGUUCAGCACGAAAAUAUCAAUUGGUGUGAAGGGACUUCCUCCCCAGUGAGCCUUAAACAUCUGCCACAGGAUGGCAAUAGAUGCAGGAAAUCCCAAAACAAAGAACAGCGUCAUAAAAAAAAGCCAAACGUAUUGGCCCUCUUCAUACGCUUCACAACCAUGAAGAUCAAAUGCAGGUGUGGGAGAGUUGUUGGAGAGAUGCUGGGAUCGAAGAUGCCACCCAGUCAACAUUUUUGAGCAGAGUGGUAGUUUCAAAACCUGAAAGAUACAAAUAUAGUAUUUCAAGCAUGCAAGAGGAAGUUACUAAUAAACACAUACCUUAAUAAUAAACACAUACCUACUCUUCCUUUUUCGUGAGGAUUUGUAGGGGAGGUUUUUACUGAUGUGCAGCUGCGUCUUGUUGCCUCGACUAAAGUUUGAAACACCUGUGGGAGCGGUUUUAAGUGUUCGUACAUCAUUCCACGUCAUGAACCGACGUCGGUGGCCGGUUUGCAAACCAUAAAGUUAUGGAAAAGAGCAAACCCACAGAGCAUCGGAGAUCAUAAAGGUAGAUGGUCAUGGACAAAAACUGACGUUUUGUGUGUUCACACUGCAUUCUAAGUUGGAUCAUCAAAGUACUUACAAUUCAUCUGUUGUCUUCCAUCCAAUAGUCUAGUCCCCUUGGAUAUCUGCAUUACAGCACAGUAAUUGUUGUAACAUUUUACUUGAGGCCCAAAUGUACACUGGUUAAUGGCACUGGAGUCAAAAACACAGCCGCCAAAUGAUGGAGAGUUGACAGCACAGAAAAGUUCACAAGGACAGCAGGAAGAGUCGCUACUUCCAACAUGUUCCACGCAGUGGGAUUCUGCCUCAAAGAUGAUCAAAUGUGUGUAGUGUUAUGUUUAAAAUGAUAUUAACAAUUAAACAACAGGGUCUAAAAUACACGCUUUCUAAAGUGAUUCGUCAUUUUUACAUUUAGUCUUUAGAAGAAAAACAAACAAAUUUCAUUGUUUUCCAUACAAUAGUCUAGUCCCUUUUGGAUCCAUCCAGUAGUUUUCAUUACAUUUCACUAGUUCACUAGUUAAUGGCGAUGGAGUCUAAGGCAGGGUUUCAUAAAAUGUCGGAGGAAUUUAUCCUCUGCGGACCAGGAAUGUUUGAAGAAAAUGUCACAGCUGUCCAUUAGUGUGACGACCCUCACCGCCUCUGGCUGGUGCACCUGCAGGUGGGUGUGGCUGAGGGUCGUCAGGGGAUUGGGAUCACCUGAAGUAAUCAGCAGCACUGGCAACACAUGGGUUUCGUGUGCCAGUGCACUCUGAUAAAAGGCCCUCUGGUCUCAGGUGCACUCUCUCUCUCUCUCUCUCUCUGCCUUGAGACACCUAGUUUUACUAUUUGCUAGUGAUAGUUGUAGUAUCGUUUGUGCUUAAACAACACACACCUUCUAUAUAUGAACAAACCUCCAUCACUGAAACUACUGACGUGAAACUGUAGCAGUGUUCGGUAAGAACAUUCCGACUAUUUGCUUGGUUUGUAUUUUUGUCAUGGCCGUGCGGCCCGCAUCAUGACAAGUGGGGGCUCGUGUGUCCAAAUUUGACUGGUUUAAGGCUGUUAGUUGUCACAAAGAAACUGUGGUUUUGUCUGACACGCAAGCUUACAUGGAUAGGUCAAAUACAGUAC
ensembl:lncRNA